GGCUGGUCUGAGUGCAGUGAUGUUUACAACUAAUUGAUCACAUUCAGUUACAGAUUUAUUUGUUCCUUCUCCAUUCCCACUGCUUCACUUGACUAGUCUUCA
ensembl:misc_RNA Y_RNA Y RNA